rnacentral:rRNA from 1 species
GAUGAACGCUGGCGGCGUGCCUAAUACAUGCAAGUCGAGCGAACGGACGAGAUGGUUGCUUCUUAGAUGUUAGAGGCGGAGGGGUGAGUAACACGUGGAUAACCUACCUAUAAGAAUGGGAUAGCUUCGGGAAACCGGAGCUAAUACAGGAUGAUAUUUUGGCACGCAUGGUUAAAGAGUGAAAGACGGUCUUGCUGUCACAUAUAGAUGGAUCCGCGCCGCAUUAGCGAGUGGGUAAGGUAACGGCUCACCAAGGCAGCGAUGAAUAGCCCGCCUGAGAGGGGGAGCGGGCACCACGGAACUGGGACACGGGCCAGACCCCUACGGGAGGCCGCAGUAGGGAAUCUUCCGCAAUGGGCGAAAGCCUGACGGAGCAACGCCGGGUGGGUGAAGAAGGUCUUCGGGUCGUAAAACUCUGUUAGUAGGGAAGAAAAUAUGUGUAAUUAACUGCGCACAUCUUGACGGUACCUAAUCAGAAAGCCACGGCUAACUACGUG